rnacentral:rRNA from 1 species
GUGGGGAAUAUUGGGCAAUGGGCGAAAGCCUGACCCAGCAACGCCGCGUGAAGGAAGAAGGUCUUCGGAUCGUAAACUUCUAUCCUUGGUGAAGAUAAUGACGGUAGCCAAGAAGGAAGCCCCGGCUAACUACGUGCCAGCAGCCGCGGUAAUACGUAGGGGGCAAGCGUUGUCCGGAAUGAUUGGGCGUAAAGGGCGCGUAGGCGGCCCGGUAAGUCUGAAGUGAAAGUCCUGCUUUUAAGGUGGGAAUUGCUUUGGAUACUGUCGGGCUUGAGUGCAGGAGAGGUAAGCGGAAUGCCCGGUGUAGCGGUGAAAUGCGUAGAGAUCGGGAGGAACACCAGUGGCGAAGGCGGCUUACUGGACUGUAACUGACGCUGAGGCGCGAAAGCUAGGGGAGCGAACGGGAUUAGAAACCCCAGUAGUCC